AUUGAGCCUUGAUGUGUAGGAUAGGUGGGAGGCUUUGAAGUGUGGACGCCAGUCUGCAUGGAGCCGACCUUGAAAUACCACCCUUUAAUGUUUGAUGUUCUAACGUGGACCCGUAAUCCGGGUUGCGGACAGUGUCUGGUGGGUAGUUUGACUGGGGCGGUCUCCUCCUAAAGAGUAACGGAGGAGCACGAAGGUUGGCUAAUCCUGGUCGGACAUCAGGAGGUUAGUGCAAUGGCAUAAGCCAGCUUGACUGCGAGCGUGACGGCGCGAGCAGGUGCGAAAGCAGGUCAUAGUGAUCCGGUGGUUCUGAAUGGAAGGGCCAUCGCUCAACGGAUAAAAGGUACUCCGGGGAUAACAGGCUGAUACCGCCCAAGAGUUCAUAUCGACGGCGGUGUUUGGCACCUCGAUGUCGGCUCAUCACAUCCUGGGGCUGAAGUAGGUCCCAAGGGUAUGGCUGUUCGCCAUUUAAAGUGGUACGCGAGCUGGGUUUAGAACGUCGUGAGACAGUUCGGUCCCUAUCUGCCGUGGGCGCUGGAGAACUGAGGGGGGCUGCUCCUAGUACGAGAGGACCGGAGUGGACGCAUCACUGGUGUUCGGGUUGUCAUGCCAAUGGCACUGCCCGGUAGCUAAAUGCGGAAGAGAUAAGUGCUGAAAGCAUCUAAGCACGAAACUUGCCCCGAGAUGAGUUCUCCCUGAGACUUAGAGUCUCCUGAAGGAACGUUGAAGACGACGACGUUGAUAGGCCGGGUGUGUAAGCGCAGCGAUGCGUUGAGCUAACCGGUACUAAUGAACCGUGAGGCUUAACCUUACAACGCCGAAG
rnacentral:rRNA from 1 species